AUGGAGAGAGGAAAAGGGGCCGAUGUCAGCUGAGUGGCCAGCAGCUGAUAACCAGGAGGAUCAUCAGCAGAGCCUAAUCACAAAGUGGAGGCCUGGGGGGUCGAGGCUCUGGGCAGGCACUCAACUUCCCUUUCCCAGAGCGCGUGGUGAUGAGUUUCUCAGAUGCUUCUUCCAGCAGCUCUAAGCUCACAGAAGAGGAUGGAAGCCUGACUCGUGUUGUAAGAGCGGUCUCCUACCGCAGUCUCUGCCUUGAUGUCCUGCCCGCCACCUCCUUUCAGUGUAUUCAAUAAACUUCUGUCUCCUUUUUUUUCUA